rnacentral:snoRNA from 1 species
GCGCAAUGAUGGUUUGUCUCGUUCGGUGUAUUGGCGAUAACCAACAAAGCCAUGCCGACAAUCCUUACAUAUCACCACUCACAAUCUGAGUCGC